AUGGGAACGCGAAGAACCUUACCUGGUCUUGACAUCCACAGAACUUAGCAGAGAUGGAUUGGUGCCUUCGGGAACUCUGAGACAGGUGCUGCAUGGCUGUCGUCAGCUCGUGUUGUGAAAUGUUGGGUUAAGUCCCGCAACGAGCGCAACCCUUAUCCUUUGUUGCCAGCGGUUAGGCCGGGAACUCAAAGGAGACUGCCAGUGAUAAACUGGAGGAAGGUGGGGAUGACGUCAAGUCAUCAUGGCCCUUACGAGUAGGGCUACACACGUGCUACAAUGGCGCAUACAAAGAGAAGCGACCUCGCGAGAGCAAGCGGACCUCAUAAAGUGCGUCGUAGUCCGGAUUGGAGUCUGCAACUCGACUCCAUGAAGUCGGAAUCG
rnacentral:rRNA from 1 species